GACGAACGCUGGCGGCGUGCUUAACACAUGCAAGUCGAACGGAAAGGCGCUGCGUUUGUGGGGUGCUCGAGUGGCGAACGGGUGAGUAACACGUGAGUAACCUGCCCUUGACAGUGUGAGAACUUCAGGAAACUGGGGCGAAUACCGGAGAGGAGCUCCUGCUGCAUGGUGGGGGUUGGAAAGUGUCGGCGGUUGGGGAUGGACUCGCGGCUUAUCAGCUUGUUGGUGGGGUAGUUGCUUACCAAGGCUUUGACGGGUAGCCGGCCUGAGAGGGUGACCGGCCACCUUGGGACUGCGAUACGGCCCAGUCUCCUACGGGCGGCAGUAGUGGGGAAUAUUGCACAAUGGGCGGAAGCCUGAUGCAGCAAUGCUGCGUGCGGGAUGCUGGCCUUCGGGUUGUAAACCGAUUUCGCCUGUGCCGAAGCGUGCGUGACGGUAAUGGGUAAAGAAGCACCGGCUAACUACGUG
rnacentral:rRNA from 1 species